GGAUGCGAUCAUACCAGCACUAAAGCACCGGAUCCCAUCAGAACUCCGAAGUUAAGCGUGCUUCGGCGAGAGUAGUACUAGGUUGGGUGACCUCCUGGGAAGUCCUCGUGUUGCAUUCC
rnacentral:rRNA from 1 species